GAAAAGGGCUUCGGCCCCGAGUACAGUGGCGGACGGGUGAGUAACACGUGGGUAAUCUGCCCUUCGGUGGGGGAUAACUGUCCGAAAGGAUAGCUAAUACCGCAUCCGUCGGCGGGGAGUGCGCUCCCUGCCGGGAAAGCCGACCUCUCCAUGGAAGUUGGCGCCGGAGGAUGAGCCCGCGGCCCAUCAGCUAGUUGGCGGUGUAAGAGACCACCAAGGCGAAGACGGGUAGCUGGUCUGAGAGGAUGAUCAGCCACACUGGGACUGAGACACGGCCCAGACUCCUACGGGAGGCAGCAGUGGGGAAUAUUGGGCAAUGGGCGCAAGCCUGACCCAGCCACGCCGCGUGAGUGAUGAAGGCCUUCGGGUCGUAAAGCUCUGUGGGGAGGGACGAAAACACGCUGGCUAACAUCCAGCGGGCUGACGGUACCUCCUUAGCAAGCACCGGCUAACUCCGUGCCAGCAGCCGCGGUAA
rnacentral:rRNA from 1 species